rnacentral:misc_RNA from 1 species
UCCGGUUUGGCACCUGUGCAGGAUCUCCGAAGAGGGGCUCUCGUUUCUGAGAGCUUGCUCGCGCAUGUCAAGCCUAGGUAAGGUUCUUCGCGUUGCGUCGAAUUAAACCACAUGCUCCACCGCUUGUGCGGGCCCCCGUCAAUUCCUUUGAGUUUCAACCUUGCGGUCGUACUCCCCAGGCGGGGUACUUCCUGCGUUAGCGCCGGCACCCAGAGGGUCGCUCCCCCAGGCACCUAGUACCCAUCGUUUACGGCGUGGACUAC